rnacentral:lncRNA from 1 species
AAACUAACAUUUUGAAAUGUCAAGUAUAGUGUAAUUAAUAACCCUUCUUUCACAUAUCUUUUAUCUCCAAUAUUUUUACAACCAUUUGCAGUAGAUAAAACAGCUGUUAUUCGUAAUUAUAGAAAUGAAGAUAAUGAGGUCAGCAAGAUUAUAGAGUUGGCCAAGUGCACAUCACUACUAGGAGAUACGGCUGGGUUUAGAAACACGAACUUUCUUAUUUUUGUUUCAGUGCUCUUUAUAUUAUAUUACUAUGAUGCUCUAUGUGAUUAAAUGAUACAAGUUCCAAGAGCAGUACUCUAUAGUCCAAGAAAGGAGAGUGGAGUUCAACCAUAACCCAUUUUCAUAACGAAUGGUCCUUUUCUAUUAGUGUGUCCAUUUUAGAAACAUAAUCCUACCUCAGUCCUAAGCACAUGGAUCAGCCCCUGAGAUAGCUUUCAUUACAUACCUACCACACAUAAGAGCUAACUAACCCUCUGUGAAGAGAAACUCCUCUUAGAAGAUGAAAUCUGUUGUCCUAACACACCCAUGAAGGAAAAAAGAAACCCUUCUCCUCUUAUCUCAGUGAUGUUGCAGACACAGAGCAGAGCAGUACAUCAUGUGAAGCCUGCCUCCAAAGCAGCUCAACAGCGGGGUUCAUGGACAUUAAUACCCCAUUUGUUUCCAAGAACGGAGCAGCUGACAGUGUGAUGGGAUGAUGUUAUAUAUGCACACAAGCCUGCGGCAGCAAACCAACUAUGCACAGCUGGGUCUUUGCAGAUGUAAUUGAGUUAAGAUGAGGUCAUUAGUGUGGGACCUAAUCCAACAUGACUGCUUUCCUUAUAAGAAGAGGAAAAUACCAUGUGAAGAUAGAGACACCCAGGGAGAACACUGCAUGAUGCCAGAAGCAGAGAUUGGAGUGGUGCAACUGCAAGUCAAUGAAUGCCAACGAUGGAUAGCCACCACCAGAAGCUAGGAAGAAGCAAGGCAAGAUUCUAUCCAGACUCUCAGAAGGAGAAUGGCCCUGCUGACACCUUGAUUUUUAGACUCCUAGCCUCUAGAACCAUAAAAGAAUAAAUUUCUGUUGUUUCUAGCCAUCCAGUUUGUGGUACUUUGUUAU